UACGUAGGCAGCGAGCGUUGUUCGGAGUUACUGGGCGUAAAGGGUGUGUAGGCGGUUGUUUAAGUUUGGUGUGAAAUCUCCCGGCUCAACCGGGAGGGUGCGCGGAAUACUGACGGGCUAGAGUGCGGGAUGGGAGAGUAGAAUUCCUGGUGUAGCGGUGAAAUGCGUAGAUAUCAGGAGGAAUACCGGUGGUGUAGACGGCUCUCUGGACCGCAACUGACGCUGAGACACGAAAGCGUGGGUAGCAAACAGG
rnacentral:rRNA from 1 species